GUCGAUCUAGCGCAACGGGAAGCGCACCGGUCUCCAAAACCGGAGGGUGCAGGUUCGAGUCCUGCGGUCGGCGCAA
rnacentral:tRNA from 1 species